rnacentral:rRNA from 1 species
UACGUAGGGGCCUAGCGUUGUCCGGAUUUAUUGGGCGUAAAGAGCUCGUAGGCGGUUUGUCGCGUCUGCCGUGAAAGUCCGGGCUCAACUCCGGAUCUGCGGUGGGUACGGGCAGACUAGAGUGAUGUAGGGAGACUGGAAUUCCCGGUGUAGUGGUGAAUGCGUAGAUAUCGGGAGGAACACCAGCGGCGAAGGCGACUACCUGGCCUGUUCUUGACGCUGAGGCGCGAAAGCUAGGGAGCAACGGG